UACGUAGGGUGCGAGCGUUGUCCGGAAUUACUGGGCGUAAAGAGCUCGUAGGUGGUUUGUCGCGUUGUUCGUGAAAACUCACAGCUCAACUGUGGGCGUGCGGGUGAUGCGGGCAGACUGGAGUACUGCAGGGGAGACUGGAAUUCCUGGUGUAGCGGUGGAAUGCGCAGAUAUCAGGAGGAACACCGGUGGCGAAGGCGGGUCUCUGGGCAGUAACUGACGCUGAGGAGCGAAAGCGUGGGGAGCGAACAGG
rnacentral:rRNA from 1 species